AGCAGUAGCCGCGGGAAUACGGAGGGUGCAAGCGUUAAUCGGAAUUACUGGGCGUAAAGCGUGCGUAGGCGGCUUCUUAAGUCGGAUGUGAAAUCCCUGAGCUUAACUUAGGAAUUGCAUUCGAUACUGGGAAGCUAGAGUAUGGGAGAGGAUGGUAGAAUUCCAGGUGUAGCGGUGAAAUGCGUAGAGAUCUGGAGGAAUACCGAUGGCGAAGGCAGCCAUCUGGCCUAAUACUGACGCUGAGGUACGAAAGCAUGGGGAGCAAACAGGAUUAGAUACCCCUGUAGUCCCUGUCUCUUAUAC
rnacentral:rRNA from 1 species